AUACUUACCUGGCAGGGGAAAUACUAUGAUCAUGAAGGUGGUUUUCCCAGGGCGAGGCUUAUCCAUUGCAUUCUGGAUGUGCUGACCCCUGUGAUUUCCCCAAAUGAAAAGAAAUUCAAAGAAAAUAAAAGGCCAUCCUGCUGUGCAGAUAGGAGAUGAG
rfam:Nomascus leucogenys chromosome 17, whole genome shotgun sequence.